UAUAUUGGGUAAUCGAGCAGUUUUUAACUGUUAGGAAAGUCCAUACUAGCACAAACUGUGAUGUUUGUAGUGUUUGUGCCUAACGAAUCCAUAAGUUAGGGCAGUGGAGACACUGACGGCGAGCGAUAAUCUAAGUCGAAAGAUAUGAUUUAGCUCUGAAAGUGCCACAGAGACGAGUUCUUAGGAAACUAAGAGGUGGAACGGGUAAACCCCACAAGCUAGCAACCCAAAUUUUGGUAGGGGCACUGAGGAUGCGGGAACAAGAACUGACUUCCUCGGCAAUCACCUAGGUGAUUGAGAUAAAUGAUUACCGCCCGAUAGGGUACAGAAUAUGGCUUACAAAU
rnacentral:RNase_P_RNA from 1 species